rnacentral:ncRNA from 1 species
UUAAAGACUAUGAAGAGGACGAGUAAGUUAACAUAUAUCUUUUCAGAGAAAGAAAGCCGUUGACUGCAAGCUUUCUAAGAUAUAUUUAGCUGAAAACCCCCUUGGAGUCGGCGCCUGAAAGAGAUUCGAGUACGGCUGUUCGGGAAAUAAUAUUCCGUUAUCCAGAAUGAGAUUAUUCGUAUAGUCUUGAUUGGAUAAGGCUGGCGAAUAAUUAUAGAGUGGAACCACAAAAGCUACCUUUUGUCUCUAUU